CUAUAUUGUUAUCUCUGUUUCAGCUCCCAGUGAACGCCCUUAUUCUGUUAAACUCACAGCGCGUAGUCAAACCUCAUUGAAUAUAACCUGGACGGCUCCUCGUAAAAGUUCAUGGAAUGCUGGGAAGCUGACUGGAUUCAAAGUUUGCCGUUAUAUUCAUGAAAAUAAAAAUAGUCUGACAUGCAUUUCCGCUACGUCAUUCGCCACCACGGCAUGGUCGUAUAAAUAUACUAUAAAUGGACUUCAAUCUUCUACUAAGUAUUUCGUGACAAUCUCGGCUGCUACAGUUGGCGGUGUUGGCCCGAAAAGUACAGCAGUCAGUGGAAUAACAGAUGGAGGGCCUGUUAAACUUUUCGAAGAUACCUCCUCAACUCUAAGGAUAAACAUUGAGAAACAAGCAGAUUAUAUCAAAAGUGUAAUCAUCAUUGUAAAAAUGGACUCAGGAGAAA